GGGAAUCUUCCACAAUGGACGAAAGUCUGAUGGAGCAACGCCGCGUGAGUGAAGAAGGUUUUAGGAUCGUAAAACUCUGUUGUUGGAGAAGAACAGGGACUAGAGUAACUGUUAGUCCUUUGACGGUAUCCAACCAGAAAGCCACGGCUAACUACGUGCCAGCAGCCGCGGUAAUACGUAGGUGGCAAGCGUUGUCCCGAUUUAUUGGGCGUAAAGCGAGCGCAGGCGGUUUUUUAAGUCUGAUGUGAAAGCCUUCGGCUUAACCGAAGAAGUGCAUUAGAAACUGGAAAACUUGAGUGCAGAAGAGGACAGUGGAACUCCAUGUGUAGCGGUGAAAUGCGUAGAUAUAUGGAAGAACACCAGUGGCGAAGGCGGCUGUCUGGUCUGUAACUGACGCUGAGGCUCGAAAGUAUGGGGAGCGAACA
rnacentral:rRNA from 1 species